AUGAACCAUUUCUUUUUUGCUAAUAUAUUAGUUAUAAGUUAGUUCUUCGAUGAAUGUUUGUUUUGCUGAAUCUCGUUCUAGUCCUUGCUUGGAUCCUCUCCCCUGCCCGGUGGCAAUUGAUGUAGUUUAUGAUAGCAGUGUACAGGUGGACUCUUAAUUUUCAGAAAUUUGUUUGGAUAUAUGCAUCAUUGACAGAAGACACUGAGUUGAGGGCUAGAUGGUUAUCAUUUUUUGUGGGAAUUUACAGCAGAGCUCCUUUUUUUUACUGCUUUUACCUAUGCAUCAUAAGGUUUUAUUCUUAGAUUAGACCCUCUGCUGCAUAUGUAAUUUAAUUGUACUUUGCUAGUUUGUGCUGUCAAUGUCGGUCGUCCAUGCUACCCCAAGACAAGGAUGUUGUGGCAUGAAUCCAGUUGAGGGGCGAACAAGUAGAGACCAUGGAGUUGGUCAAGACAGCAGAGAGUUCAGGGUGAAGGAAUUAGGAAACAUGAAGUAGAGAUAGAAUUAAAAAACACUUUUGAGGGCAAGACGUAUCUAUUAUUCCAAUUAUUCUCUUAUCUCAACCUAUGUCACCCAAUCCCUUGCAGCCAGCCAUGCUGUCUGGGUAUCUUCAUGGUAUGGUAGCUAGCCCCUUGUGGAUCAAGGUUCACAACCAUACUAUGUUCACAACAGUUAGCCAUCACAAAGUCAAGUUUAUGUUUUCUCAUGGUUUGUUGCAUAGAAGCCAGGAACAUGGGUGGGUACCCCGUCCCACGACCCAUGAUUAUCCAACCCAGAUCGGUUUGGGUCGAGCCUGGAGCAGGCGGAUCGAUGGCUGGGACGUGUUCCCAAACGCCUACAGAUCCUCAUGCCGAGAUGAGGAGGGGAAGAAGGUAGAUGGGCGAGGAAGAGACACACUGUCGCUCGACAGCAUCACCAUUGCUCCUUUUGCCUUGGUAGUUCUCCUCUGCCAGUGUUUAUGUUCUCCAUGGCCACUAUAUAUGUCAUUUUUUUUAUUGCUGGUUGGUGCUGGAAGGAUUGGAGACAUGUAGCAGCCUGUGGCGGCAGAUAUGCCAAACAGUUUGCUAGAUUAGGCAUGGAGCAGCAGGAGAAGCGACGAAGGUGUCAGCAGGCGCAGGGGGAGUGCAGCUGUGCAGGUUUGAGCUAGGCUAUAUAGCAUGUUUGGGCUCUCGUGGGCUUUAGUGGUCUGAUCUGAGAACAAGGAGCACAGCCAGGGAAUUUAAAUACUUUGCCUGGAUAGAAUUGAUAAUCCAAUAUAAAAUACUUCCCUGGAGUAUAACUGAUGCGAAUGCAUGUUUGAAGCUGGUUCACUGGUGUGUGGUUGGGUCCUUCGAGUGGAAAUCAGGCCAUGGGGGGAAAUAUGUUAUUAUGGCAAUCUUGGAUAAUGUUUGCACCCAGCUUUAGUAUAAAAAUUAAGAUUAGGCGGUGCCUACAGGAACUAAUGGUGCAACUUUUGUUGAGUUUUAAGUCCUUGAACUGAAAACAUUGUAAUUUGACAUUUUGACUAUACCAUUCAACAUUCUUGGCUUCUUGUGUAAAAGAAUGUCUUCAUACCCUUUCUGGUACCACCAUACCAUGCAGGGAGAAUAGAUCCAAAACUAGGUGUGUGUGUGUGUGUG